rnacentral:pre_miRNA from 1 species
GGUACUUAAAAAAUGGCUGUCUGUAGUAUGAUCUCUAUAUUUAAGAUGAUUAAUAUUGGACAACCAUUGUUUUAGUAUC